GACGAACGUUGGCGGCGUGCUUAACACAUGCAAGUCGAACCGAAAAGCCCUGCUUUUGUGGGGUGCUCGAGUGGCGAACUUUUGAGUAACACGUGAGUAACCUGCCCUUGACUUUGGGAUAACUUCAGGAAACUGGGGCUAAUACCGGAUAGGAGCUCCUGCUGCAUGGUGGGGGUUGGAAAGUUUCGGCGGUUGGGGAUGGACUCGCGGCUUAUCAGCUUGUUGGUGGGGUAGUGGCUUACCAGGGCUUUGACGGGUAGCCGGCCUGAGAGGGUGACCGGCCACAUUGGGACUGAGAUACGGCCCAGACUCCUACGGGAGGCAGCAGUGGGGAAUAUUGCACAAUGGGCGGAAGCCUGAUGCAGCAACGCCGCGUGCGGGAUGACGGCCUUCGGGUUGUAAACCGCUUUCGCCUGUGACGAAGCGUGAGUGACGGUAAUGGGUAAAGAAGCACCGGCUAACUACGUGCCAGCAGCCGCGGUGAUACGUAGGGUGCGAGCGUUGUCCGGAUUUAUUGGGCGUAAAGGGCUCGUAGGUGGUUGAUCGCGUCGGAAGUGUAAUCUUAGGGCUUAACCCUGAGCGUGCUUUCGAUACGGGUUGACUUGAGGAAGGUAGGGGAGAAUGGAAUUCCUGGUGGAGCGGAGGAAUGCGCAGAUAUCAGGAGGAACACCAGUGGCGAAGGCGGUUCUCUGGGCCUUUCCUGACGCUGAGGAGCGAAAGCGUGGGGAGCGAACAGGCUUAGAUACCCUGGUAGUCCACGCUGUAAACGGUGGGUACUAGGUGUGGGGUCCAUUCCACGGGUUCCGUGCCGUAGCUAACGCUUUAAGUACCCCGCCUGGGGAGUACGGCCGCAAGGCUAAAACUCAAAGGAAUUGACGGGGCCCCGCACAAGCGGCGGAGCAUGCGGAUUAAUUCGAUGCAACGCGUAGAACCUUACCUGGGUUUGACAUGGAUCGGGAGUGCUCAGAGAUGGGUGUGCCUCUUUUGGGGUCGGUUCACAGGUGGUGCAUGGCUGUCGUCAGCUCGUAUCGUGAGAUGUUGGGUUAAGUCCCGCAACGAGCGCAACCCUUGUUCACUGUUGCCAGCACGUUAUGGUGGGGACUCAGUGGAGACCGCCGGGGUCAACUCGGAGGAAGGUGGGGAUGACGUCAAGUCAUCAUGCCCCUUAUGUCCAGGGCUUCACGCAUGCUACAAUGGCUGGUACAGAGAGUGGCGAGCCUGUGAGGGUGAGCGAAUCUCGGAAAGCCGGUCUCAGUUCGGAUUGGGGUCUGCAACUCGACCUCAUGAAGUCGGAGUCGCUAGUAAUCGCAGAUCAGCAACGCUGCGGUGAAUACGUUCCCGGG
rnacentral:rRNA from 1 species